rnacentral:rRNA from 1 species
AUUGAACGCUGGCGGCAGGCCUAACACAUGCAAGUCGAGCGGAGCGGCGGACGGGUGAGUAAUGCCUAGGAAUCUGCCUGGUAGUGGGGGGUAACGUCCGGAAACGGGCGCUAAUAUCGCAUACUAUCAGAUGAGCCUAGGUAGGAUUAGCUAGGUGGUGGGGUAAAGGCAUACCAAGGCGACGAUCCGUACCUUGUCUGAGAGGAGGAACAUUCACACUGGAACUGAGUCACGGUCCAGACUCCUACGUGAGGCAGCAGUGGGGAAUAUUGGACAAUGGGCGAAAGCCUGAUCCAGCCAUGCCGCGUGUGUGAAGAAGGUCUGCGGAUUGUAAAGCACUUUAAGUUGGGAGGCGUUACCAACAGAAUAAGCACCGGCUAACUUCGUGCCAGCAGCCGCGGUAAUUC